rnacentral:rRNA from 1 species
AAUUUUGGACAAUGGGCGCAAGCCUGAUCCAGCCAGGCCGCGUGAGUGAAGAAGGCCAUCGGGAUGUACAGCUCUUUCGGACGGAAAGAAAUUGCGCAGGCUAAUACCCUGCGCGGAUGACGGUACCGCCAUAAGAAGCACUGGCUAACUACCUGCACGCAGCUGCGGUAAUACGUUGGGUGCAAGCGUUAAUCGGAAUUACUGCGCGUAAAGAGUGCGCAUGCGGUUCGGAAAGAAGGAUGUGAAAUACCAGGGCUCAAACUUGGAACUGCAUUCUUAACUACCGAACUAGAGUAUGUCAGAAGAGGGUAGAAUUCCGCGUGUAGCAGUGAAAUGCGUAGAUAUGCGGAGGAAUACCGAUGGCGAAGGCAGCCCCCUGGGAUAAUACUGACGCUCAUGCACGAAAGCGUGGGUAGCAAACAGG